UUGGAGAAUUUGAUCCUGGCUCAGGAUGAACGCUGGCGGCGUGCUUAACACAUGCAAGUCGAACGGGAUCCCGGGGGUUCGCUUCCGGGUGAGAGUGGCGAACGGGUGAGUAAUGCGUGACCGACCUGCCCCAUACACCGGAAUAGCUCCUGGAAACGGGUGGUAAUGCCGGAUGCUCCGGUUGGAUGCAUGUCCUUCCGGGAAAGAUCCGUCGGUAUGGGAUGGGGUCGCGUCCUAUCAGCUUGAUGGCGGGGUAACGGCCCACCAUGGCUUCGACGGGUAGCCGGCCUGAGAGGGCGACCGGCCACAUUGGGACUGAGAUACGGCCCAGACUCCUACGGGAGGCAGCAGUGGGGAAUAUUGCACAAUGGGCGCAAGCCUGAUGCAGCGACGCCGCGUGCGGGAUGGAGGCCUUCGGGUUGUAAACCGCUUUUGAUCGGGAGCAAGCCCUUCGGGGUGAGUGUACCUUUCGAAUAAGCACCGGCUAACUACGUGCCAGCAGCCGCGGUAAUAA
rnacentral:rRNA from 1 species